UAGGGAAUCUUCGGCAAUGGACGGAAGUCUGACCGAGCAACGCCGCGAGAGUGAAGAAGGUUUUCGGAUCGUAAAGCUCUGUUGUUAGAGAAGAACGUUGGUAGGAGUGGAAAAUCUACCAAGUGACGGUAACUAACCAGAAAGGGACGGCUAACUACGUGCCAGCAGCCGCGGUAAUACGUAGGUCCCGAGCGUUGUCCGGAUUUAUUGGGCGUAAAGCGAGCGCAGGCGGUUCUUUAAGUCUGAAGUUAAAGGCAGUGGCUUAACCAGUGUACGCUUUGGAAACUGGAGGACUUGAGUGCAGAAGGGGAGAGUGGAAUUCCAUGUGUAGCGGUGAAAUGCGUAGAUAUAUGGAGGCACACCGGUAGCGAAAGCGGCUCUCUUGUCUGUAACUGACGCUGAGGCUCGAAAGCGUAGGGAGCAAACAGG
rnacentral:rRNA from 1 species